CUUAGCUGUUAGAACUGCUUGACACCAUGACAUUAAGUGUUGUUGCCUCUUGGAUUUCAAGAUAGUUCAUUAGAAGGGCAGCUGAGUGUGAGAAAGGAUUGGGGGAGCAGAGUGAGAGGAGAAGCAGUUGGUGCAGAAGCUACAGGGAGACAGUAGAGCCAGGAGGAGCUGACUGAGCAGAGAGGCUAGAACAGUUGUCACAGUCUGGAGCUGCUGUCAUUGGGAAAACUGGAAGAAGGGAUUGAUUAAGUGCCGUGUUGGGGAAUUGAGGGAGGAACUGCUUUUGGGAGAAACAUUAGAAGGACCAGGGUUGGAAGAUGGAAGAAAUUGUUGAAAAGAAUUUAGAUUGACAGGUCUCCUCCUUUCCUCUCUAGUCAUAGGGGGUGAAACCAGGAGGACAAAGGGUGGGGAAAAAAGAACCAACAAAGUAAUGAAGACCAGCUACAUGGCUCUCCGUGUAACCCCGGCUGCCCUGGGACUCACUCUGUAUACACUAGGCUGGUCUCGAACUCACAGAUCUGCCUGCUUCUGGGUAUGCACAACCAAGGCUCAGGAAAUAUUCUUAAUCAAAUCACCUCAGAAGCCUAUGAUAUUUGUGUUUGAUCACAUAAGUGGAAUAAUUGCCAACAAAUGAGAGAAAGGCUACAUUCUAGUGGCAAAAGAGCAUCUCGGCCCAGGAAUCAGUUUCUAACCUUGAGCCAGUUUGCAGAUGCAGAACGCCUUGAAUGAACGAGUGGCCAGGUGACCCUGAAAGUACCACCCUGUUCUCUCCACUGCUCAGUUCUUGGCUGAUCAGCUUUAUUGACAAAGCAGAAAACAGACGGGGAGCAAUGUUUGCACACACUCCAGACAGGACGUUCUUACAGUAAGCAUUCCAGUGCCACGCCCAGUUUAAAACCAGAUGUGCAGAGGCGAGAAAUCGUCAUUUGAGUGACACAAAGGUAAUCUUUACACGGUGCACAAUGACAGUUGUGCUAACAAAGCUGACAAGAGGUGGACGUGUGGUGGCCAGGCUUACAUGCCAACUGGACUGCAUCUGGAGUUAACCCCAACAUGGAGGGAACAUCUGUGACAGGAUUUGCUCAGUUUGAAGUGUGAAAAAUCAACUUCUAUAUGGAUUUUGUGGUAGGAAGAUACAUUUUAAUCCAGAGUAUCUGAGAUGGAGACCCCCACCCUAAAAUGUACCACACCUUCCGGUGGACGCUACAUAAGGACACGGAUGAAGGAAGCCUUUGCUCUUUGCCUGCUGCUCUGCCCUGCUGGGAAGUUCCUUUCUUCACUGACUUGAGCGCCUACGUCUUUGGGGUGGUAGCUUACACUGAAGGGCAGCUGAGGCGUCCAGCCUUGUGCACUGAGCAUCUACUGAAUUCUUGGAGUUUCUAUUCAUCGUCAGCCAUUGCUGAGUUAUCUGGACCACAGACUGUAAGACAUUAUCAUACAUCAAAUGUAUUAUAUUAUAUAUAACAUAUAAAUGUUCGUUCUAUACAUUCUGUUACUCUUGAGACAUGGCUAAUACACAGACCCAGCAAGGCCAGGAAGCACUGGUCUGCCCUGUGGUGAACAGAAAUGUGUGGUUUAAUGAGAAUGGCC
rnacentral:lncRNA from 1 species